UACAGAGGUCUCGAGCGUUAGGCGGAAUCACUGGGCUUAAAGCGUGUGUAGGCGGAUCGGUAAGUACCUUGUGAAAUCCCACAGCUUAACUGUGGAACUGCUUGGUAUACUGCCAGUCUUGAGCCAGCUAGGGGCGACCGGAACAAAUGGCGGAGCGGUGAAAUGCGUAGAUAUCAUUUGGAACGCCAAUGGUGAAAACAGGUCGCUGGGGCUGUGCUGACGCUGAGACACGAAAGCCAGGGGAGCGAACGGG
rnacentral:rRNA from 1 species